rnacentral:rRNA from 1 species
GACGAACGCUGGCGGCGUGCUUAACACAUGCAAGUCGAACGCUGAAGCUCAGCUUUUGUUGGGUGGAUGAGUGGCGAACGGGUGAGUAACACGUGAGUAACCUGCCUCCUUCUUUGGGAUAACUCCCGGAAACGGGUGCUAAUACUGGAUAUUCGCUGGUCUUCGCCUGGGGGUUGGUGGAAAGGGUGGUUGUGGUGGGGGAUGGGCUCGCGGCCUAUCAGCUUGGUGGUGGGGUGAUGGCCUACCGAGGCUUUGACGGGUAGCCGGCCUGAGAGGGGGACCGGGCACAUUGGGACUGAGAUACGGCCCAGACUACUACGGGAGGCAGCAGUGGGGACUAUUGCACAAUGUGCGCAAGACUGAUGCAGCGACGCAGCGUGAGGGAUGGCGUCCUUCGGAUUGUGAACCUCUUUCGCUCAUGGUCAAGCCGCAACCAUGGUUGUGGUGAGGGUAGUGGGUAAAGAAGCGCCGGCUAACUACGUG